GACGUAGGGUGCGAGCGUUAAUCGGAAUUACUGGGCGUAAAGCGUGUGCAGGCGGUUUGUUAAGACAGGUGUGAAAUCCCCGGGCUUAACCUGGGAAUUGCGCUUGUUACUGGCAAGCUAGAGUGCGUCAGAGGGAGGUGGAAUUCCACGUGUAGCAGUGAAAUGCGUAGAGAUGUGGAGGAACACCGAUGGCGAAGGCAGCCUCCUGGGAUGACACUGACGCUCAGGCACGAAAGCGUGGGGAGCAAACAGG
rnacentral:rRNA from 1 species